rnacentral:tRNA from 1 species
GCGCUCUUAGUAUAGUGGUAAGUAUGCCAGGUUGCCAACCUGGCGACCCGGGUUCAAUUCCCGGAGGGCGCA